rnacentral:tRNA from 1 species
GCCAGCAUGGCUUAGUGGUUUGAGCGUUGGACUACAACUCUGGAGACCAUGGUUCGAUUCCCAGCUUGACC